GUGCCAGCAGCCGCGGUAAUACGGAGGGUGCAAGCGUUGUCCGGAAUCACUGGGUGUAAAGGGUGUGCAGGCGGGGCAGCAAGUCGGAGGUGAAAGCCCAUGGCUCAACCAUGGAAGUGCCUUCGAAACUGUUGCUCUUGAGUCCCGGAGAGGUUGCCGGAAUUCGUGGUGUAGCGGUGAAAUGCGUAGAUAUCACGAGGAACACCAGAGGCGAAAGCGGGCAACUGGACGGGUACUGACACUGAGGCACGAAAGCGUGGGGAGCAAACAGGAUUAGAUACCCGAAUAGUCC
rnacentral:rRNA from 1 species